rnacentral:rRNA from 1 species
CUACGGGACGCAGCAGUGAGGAAUUUUGCGCAAUGGGGGAAACCCUGACGCAGCAACGCCGCGUGAGUGAAGAAGGAUUUCGGUUCGUAAAGCUCUGUCAAGUGGAAAGAAAUUAUUGAUUGCUAAUACCAAUCAAUAUUGACGGUACCACUGAAGGAAGCACCGGCUAACUCCGUGCCAGCAGCCGCGGUAAUACGGAGGGUGCAAGCGUUAUUCGGAAUUAUUGGGCGUAAAGGGCGCGCAGGCGGUUGUAUAAGUCAGAUGUGAAAGCCCCGGGCUUAACCCGGGAAGCGCAUUUGAAACUAUAUGACUUGAGUAUGGGAGAGGGAAGUGGAAUUUCUGGUGUAGAGGUGAAAUUCGUAGAUAUCAGAAGGAACACCGGUGGCGAAGGCGACUUCCUGGACCAAUACUGACGCUGAGGCGCGAAGGCGUGGGGAGCGAACAGGAUUAGAUACCCUCGUAGUC